UUUUUUUUUUUUUCUCUCAACUAAAUUAUUUCCUUAGGUUCAAAAAAGCACCAGAAUGAUUUUAUCUUUAUCACAGUUAUAAAAUACAGCACAGCUGCCACAACCAUUCUUCCCUCUGUAAAUGUUUGGAUACUCCCCACACACAGUUUCUUCUAGUCAGUAAAUGUUUGUAUGCCAGGAAAAGACACUUGACUUCCUUAUCUGUUUUGUCACCGAGACACCAAAAAGUAUAAGGUUUCCUGCAGAAACCCACUGUGCCUUGAUCGGGUGGAGAAAGGCAGGGAAGGAGCAUGAACUCAGGCAGCAAAACCUUCAAAAGCAAAUAAAGCCGUCUGUGUUGUUAACUGGGAAGUGUCUAUAUAGCUGCCAGCCAAAUGCUGCUGCAAGAGAAGAUUAUUUUUAAUAAUCAGAACAGUUUCUUAGAGAAUGUAUAUUCCCAUGAUCAAAUCUAAUGCAACACCAUCAGGAUUUGGCUCUAGACAACACCCAUGACAUUUUAUAGUACUUAUCAGCAUCACCGUUAAGCGUUGCUGACAGGGUCUGUGGAAAGCGAGCCGAGCAGUCAAGUUACACUGGAAACUUUUAGACUCCCAGGGACUGUUUUUGAUGGAAUCUAUGUCCAUCUCCAGAUCACCAUGACAUCGUCUGCAAUGGUUCUAAUGCUCUCUCCCGCCAUGAGCUGACAGCCUUCACCCAUGGGACGGGGAGGGUGGAGAGCAAGGCAAGAAGCUAAAUCACAUGGACACUUUAAAAACAAUUGAAGUUGCUGCACAAAAUCCUUACACUUAGCAGCAAACACGUGGUGGGAAUCUGCAGCUCAUAUGCGCUGCAGAUUACUGAAGUCCUAUUUAACUUGCAAAAAAACUCAAAAAAGACAAAAAAAAAACCAACCAACAAAAAACACCUCAGAACAUCCAGAUGUUUUUGAAAAGUCCAAGACUGCUUCCCAUUUCACUGCAUAUACUAUUUCAUCAUCCAGAAGUUUUACAAUACAUUUUGCAUUACCUUUUCAAAUCAGCAGUUUUUCCUAGCUUAGAUCAGUGAGCCGUAUGUCUGUGGGCUCAGAGCCUUUAACACCUCUGCAUGCUUUCCAGUUUGGCAUUCUCCCAGGAUUGGCCAUCAUCCAAGAACCCAACUUCCAGCUCAGGGCUGCCCUCCCUCGUUUCCAUUCCUCAGUUCUGAUUCUGUCCC
rnacentral:lncRNA from 1 species